CUUUGGACUGAGGACUGUCUAUAGUCCGUGUGGUAUAUUAAAAAUUCGAACUUUGGAUAUAUACUAAAACAAGAAGCAAAUAUGUAUACGCUAUUUUCUCUAAGGAAAAUGGAUUUCCUCAUUGUCUUGUUGUUUCUUUCAACAUUUUUGAGGGGCAUUGGAGCAGCGCCAAUGGAGGCUAACGAGGUUUGCAUGCUGAGGUCAGGAAUAGCUGAAUGUUCGUCAGACUUAUCCCUCCUCGCGGGUGCCGGCUGGACAAUGGACGAUGUGGUGCUUUUUGGCGCUGCAAAGUCUAGCUAAGGUAACGAUUACUCCAAUGGAAUUGUUGAAUCGUUACCAUGGUCUUGAGGUAAUCCUAUAUAAUAUGGUUUGUAAGUAGGAUGAUCUUUAAACUUAAGUCGUUUCUAGUACU